GUUAGACAAGAGGAGGGAGGGUACAGACCACAAUUUCAACUUUCGUUUUUUGUGAAGGAAAAUGAUAAUAAUAAAAAUAAAAAAAACUUUCUCAAAGCCGCACAAUUCCCCCAUCCUUUUCUCGUUCCUGAUGCGGCUUUCUCCAAAGGCACCGUGUAGGUUAAACUUGCAGUGGACCCAACAUUUAGAUAUCCAGUUACACAAAGCCUUGGAACGAUCUACACACUCAUGUCAAGCACAACGAGCUUGGACGCAGUCCACAGACAUCUGCAGUUGUGAACUGUGGUUGGAGUUGUGGGUGGGGCUUGGCAGCUGCGAUUCGAAGGAACAGAAAGCUCCUCCGUGUGUUAUAAAAAGGGGGAAUGUGUCUUAGGAAACAAGGAUUUCAUACAAAUACAGCUUGACUUACAACUUCAGUGACGGUAUGAGCACACACACACACACACAUACGCACACAUCUACCACAGUCAGGAUCUCAGACAUUCAUCAGAUGCACAGCACAGACAUCACAUUCCUGCCAAGGUGCUUGUAGCAAGCCUGGCCUUUCCUCUACUAUAAAUCAGACCUUGCAGGCAACCUGAAUAUGAGAACUCAUGUGUAAUUAAAAGAAUCUGUUCUGUAAUUAGUCGGAUCCGGCACAAUGCACUGGAAGUAUUGCGAACAUUUUGUAUUGAGGGUAUUGUUGGAGCGUUCAUGGCAUGUCCAGCUUCCAUCUCACGGUUCAGUCAGACCAAUCCAAACACGGUUAGUGUCUCAUCCUGUUCACCAUCUUGGGGGCACAGACAGCUUUCCUUGACGGACAGGAAUAUGAUUCAUUCAUUCACCCCCGUUCCAUUCGGUUGAAAAAAAAAACAAAAAAACAAACGGCGGCACCGGCGGGUGGAGCAACUACACCUUUAACCCCUCUCAGAGAAAAACGCAGAACAGAUUAACAGCCUCCACUUCUUUGACCUUUUAAGGCUUCCUGCUCUGCCAAUCCAGUUUGGUUUUGCUCCUACGUUUCUGGAGCUUAAGGUUAUGUCAGAGUUAAAGGGUUAUUAUUGGAUGGCCAUCUCGGUGGUAAAGAUAACCAGCCUAUGAGACUGAGAAAUUAGUGGUCUUUCUUAGUAGAUAAUUACUGAGGUAGUAUUCGCAUUCAGCAUUUAGCCUGCAAAGUAAGCACAAAUUGAAGAUUGUUUAUUUUCUGUCAUGAAGCAUUCCAGUUAUAAGUAGGAUUUAACUAAACACUUGAUCUUGUGAGGAGGAAGCACAUGCUUUCUUCAGAGUCGUCAUCAUUUUCCAGCACAUUUGCACUGGAUGCUCUUAAACAUACACUCACAUCCUGUUGAGACAGGAUGUGGAAGCACUGUUAUUUCGGGGGUGGGGGUGUGUGUGCUUAUUUAUGAGCAGUUUGGAUGCCUAAGGGACCUCAUUACCUCACCAUGGCGGAUUAUGUAACACCAUGGGCAGCCUGAGCUGGAUCAUGGUGGACUCCCUAAUGUUGGCUCCUGGGUCUUCAGGGCUGUUCUGCUGGGUCUUCAGGGCUGUUCUGCUGGGUCUCCAGGGCUGUUCUGCUGGGUCUCCAGGGCUGUUCUGCUGGGUCUCCAGGGCUGUUCUGCUGGGUCUUCAGGGCUGUUCUGCUGGGUCUCCAGGGCUGUUCUGCUGGGUCUCCAGGGCUGUUCUGCUGGGUCUUCAGGGCUGUUCUGCUGGGUCUCCAGGGCUGUUCUGCUGGGUCUCCAGGGCUGUUCUGCUGGGUCUCCAGGGCUGUUCUGCUGGGUCUUCAGGGCUGUUCUGCUGGGUCUUCAGGGCUGUUCUGCUGGGGAUGGAACAUUGCAGAUUGCACUGGGCCUCACACUUUCCCUCAGCACUGCCAACACCUGAAGAUGUGAUUUUAUGAUAUGAUGUUGGCAUGUUGCUUGACCAAAAAAAAGCUAUUCAGGAACACCUCAUAUCCAGUGUUCUCCAGCACUUAAAGGUGUGUGGUAAUGAGGCCGGAAAGUGAGGUUGAUCCAUCGAUGCCUUGUCAGCAAAACCUGGCUUCUACACUGUGAAACACUCAUAGUGAUUUUCUCUUAUUUGAGUACGAGCUCAGAGAGAGAAUGCUUUGGCUCUGUGCAUGUACACUUGGCCCACAAUCUCAGGAGACAAUCACUGGUUAAAAGAGAGCAGGACCCGACACAAAAGCUGGGAACAUGUCACAAAUUUAACACAGUUUAGUGCCGCUACCACAACAUACGGAUAAUGCCUUCCGGGGUGUAUCGCGUCCUAGAAUGUGAGUAAAGCAUUAUGGGAUCUGAACACCCAUAAGCUCACACGUUAAUGAAUGGCGACUGUCGCUGGGCUUUAGCGUGGCUCACGGGCCCCAUCCUGACCCCUACCCGUCUGGCUCCAGGUCCUGGCUCUUUGCCUCCAACAUGCCUGCUACACAUCUCCAGCCAUACAAACAUCUGUUACCGAAGCCCAGUUUGCUAUGGCAACAGGAACAAAAGCGAAACAUCUUUAAGCUCGUCCCACCCUUUGGCUUACGUCCUGCUCUGCUGCGGAAACCUACAUGAGCGGCCGUACAUGGGAGUGCAUGAUCCUGUAUAAAGGGUAUUCCAUGUUCUCCACUGAACCCAGGAAUCGAAGCGGUUUUCCCGAUACAGGCCAGGAUAUAAACAUAGGAAUAGAGUUAUGUGCGUUAUGUGAAAUAUGUGCAGAUCCUGGCACUCUACACAUACACAAAUUCAUAAAGGCAUAAAGACCUUUAUGUCCUGUUGAUACAUUACAAAUAAACAAGGUAGAUGGACCUACAUGUUCCCUCUGCAUAUGUGAUCUACAUAGUCACGCGGGAAACAUGCAUUUGCAAAUCUCUGAGAUACAAGCCAUAGUCAGGAGGGACCAAGCUGAACUCUGCAUGCUCACUGUGAAGCUGUACGCUAGUUUACAUCAUGUUCAUUCCAAAACCUGACUCUCGGCUUGUGCCAGAUGAUGCUGCUUACCACAGAGCAUGAAUGUCCCAGCUGUGUGGCUCCAGAGGUUCGUCUGUCAUCAUUCAGGCGCGUCCCCUCCUAAACCCUCAGACAGCUGAGGCACUGAUCGUAAGGAUAAUGACUUUGGAUGCAUCCAGCUACUCAGAAUGCAAGCAGUGCAUUGUUGGUUCUCAGGUUCUCAUAAGGGAAGUUAGAACAUCCAUGGACAUGUCAGCCAUGGGGUACUGGUUUACUGACACUCUUAGGAGAUUCAGGAAUUAUGCCCAGUACAGCCACUUAAAUAUAUCACCUGUUCUUCAUGGUGCCCAUUACAGCAGCUCAGCUUAGAGGACACAGCUUGGUUCCAAAAUGGGGAACCUUUAACUGAAGGCUGCGUUUGUAACAGCAAGCUGUGUAUAUGUACUGCUAAAGAAUGUGCACAGCACUUUUUAAAAAGUGAUUGAAAAUACAGGCCUGUGGGGAAACUUGUAAUUCUGCACCUCAAAUCCAAAAUCUCCUCCUGGGUUCUGUAAUCAGUGAAAGUUAAUUUAUGGAUAAAACAUACAUAUUCAAACUACAGAGCUAGGUACACGUACUACAGAUUUUCCACUGUCCCAUUACCCGGGACAGAAUGGGCAGUCAGCAUUAAUUAUUCAAUUAAACACUAAUAAUUAGAAGAAAUUGGAUUUGAGAUCCACAGUUCAAGAUGUCACUGUUUGGAUCUGAUCUUCUAAGGUCCGGUGUAUGGCCCGACACCUGCUGAGACCAGCGGACCCUGUCGUGUGCUGGCUGGAGGAUCCUGCUCCUCAGGGGAAGGGCGCACCCUCCACAUCGUUAUGGACAUGUCAGCCAGUGUGCGCUCCAGCUGGAAUUCUGGAGCUUGGGUGAAAAUGAGUUUGAAAGCUGGACAUGCCGAGUCAUGAAGAAUGUCUCAGGCCUGCUGCUGCCACAGUAAAAGUCCCUGGAUCAGCUCGGACAGGAGCACACUCCUUGGGUUUCACAGUUAAAAUGGAAUGUGAUCACUAGAUAAUUCAGGUUUUUAGCAAUAAUAAUUUGGUUUAAUCUAUACACCUCUGUGGCACAUUUAUUAAAUACAUGUGACAAGUAAGCACAGUUGAGUACCUUAUUGACAACAUACUGUAAUAUUUUGAAAUAAGAGGAAAACAAACAAAAAAGAAGCUUGAUCCAAAAGCCGUGUUAUGUGCGUUAUCAUUUGAUACAGUUAAUCCUGAAAAAUGUCCAUGUUUUACCAUGAUAAUCCUGUCCAAGGGAGCACGGUGAGGUGUGGCAGAGCUGAGCGUCACGCCUUUUCCAGGGUGACGUUUAUUUGUACAGGAUGGGGAGGCAUUAACCUCUCACUCAAGCUAUUAAUUACUCAGGGUGCCUGUGCAAACACCACAUUGUGCUGCUCGGUGGGGGUUGGUGGAGGCCGGGCAGAGGCUGGCCUGUUUAACCCAUCGUCCACCUCUGUUGCAAACACGCCACCCUCGUGCUAGGAAUGGCACGGGGAUGCUUUGCGGAGACAGCUGCUCCCCGGAAUACCUCGCUCGCUGGUUUUGGCAAAGAAUUGGAUAAAGCUUAAUAAAAAGAUACCUUUUCACCGACUGAGGAUGAAAAAAGUAACCUGAGGUAGUAUGAGGCACAAGGCUGUAAAGGCACAACAUGACAAAUUAUGUUGAAGGAGAAAUUGCUUUAAACUAGCUGGAAUCAAUCUCUGACAGCGUUCCGAAGUGCUAACAACUAGUUGGUUUUCCAUCCUGUAUCUCCUGCAUAGGAAAAGGCAGGGAGUUUACUGGCGUAAGGAAAUCUUCGGAACAACGGCACACUAACAUUCUAGGACACGUCAUCUUAACAAGAGAAUGUGCAUAUUUCACAUGCGUAAUAGACUAUAAACAA